rnacentral:rRNA from 1 species
GACGAACGCUGGCGGCAUGCCUAACACAUGCAAGUCGAACGAGACCUUCGGGUCUAGUGGCGCACGGGUGCGUAACACGUGGGAACCUGCCCUUAGGUUCGGAAUAACUCCCCGAAAGGGGUGCUAAUACCGGAUAAUGUCUUCGGACCAAAGAUUUUUGGCCGUUGGAUGGGCGCGCGUUGGAUUAGCUAGUUGGUAGGGUAAAAGCCUACCAAGGCGACGAUCCAUGGCUGGUGUGGGAGGAUGCUCAGCCACACUGGGACUGAGACACGGCCUAGACUGCGACGGGAGGCAGCAGUGGGGAAUAUUGUACAAUGGGCGAAAGCCUGAUACAGCAAUGCCGCGUGAGUGAUGAAGGCCUUAGGGUUGUAAAGCUCUUUUACCCGGGAUGAUAAUGACAGUAACGGGUGAAUAAGCUCCGGCUAACUCCGUG